AUUCUUCUGCUUACGUUAAAGUUCUAUAAACUUAUCUUCGUUCUUUAAUUAGAUUUCCAUCGUCUGGGUUAAGAAAGAUUUCCGACCUCCUUCGAGACCAUCGAACUUUCAGUUAGCUGAUUACUUUGACACAGCCAUGAGUACUUCAUGUACAUCGUCACCGAUCGCAUUAUCUCUAUAGCCCUUAUUUACUCACUCUCAUCCCAAGCCCGAUGCUCUUCAUCAUUCCCAACUAGAGUGAUUAUUUUUAGUGCAGCUGAAGGUCAUGAUAAAUGACACCAAAAGUAUCAAAAUACAAACAAAAAUUAUGUACACAUCGAAAAAUAAGAUUGCACCACAUUCCGAUAUGUUUCGUUGUAUGCUCUAAAU
ensembl:ncRNA lncRNA:CR46213 long non-coding RNA:CR46213